CUUAGUAGGUAUCGAGGGUUGUUUAGUAGGUUUUGUAGGUCGUCCAGUAGGUAUUGUGGGUUGUUUAGUAGGUUUUGUAGGUCGUCUAGUAGGUAUCGUGGGUUGUCUAGUAGGUUUUGUAGGUCGUCUAGUAGGUAUCGUGGGUUGUCUAGUAGGUUUUGUAGGUCGUCUAGUAGGUAUCGUGGGUUGUCUAGUAGGUUUUGUAGGUCAUCUAGUAGGUAUUGUGGGUUGUUUAGGAGGUUUUGUAGGUCGUCUAGUAGGUACUGUGGGUUGUUUAGUAGGUUUUGUAGGUUGUCUAGUAGGUAUUGUGGGUUGUUUAGUAGGUUUUGUAGGUUGUCUAGUAGGUAUUGUGGGUUGUUUAGGAGGUUUUGUAGGUCAUCUAGUAGGUACUGUGGGUUGUUUAGUAGGUUCUGUAGGUUGUCUAGUAGGUAUCGUGGGUUGUCUAGUAGGUUUUGUAGGUCGUCUUGUAGGUACUGUGGGUUGUUUAGUAGGUUUUGUAGGUCAUCUAGUAGGUAUCAUGGGUUGUUUAGUAGGUUUUGUAGGUUGUCUAGUAGGUAUCAUGGGUUGUUUAGUAGGUUUUGUAGGUCAUCUAGUAGGUAUUGUGGGUUGUUUAGUAGGUUUUGUAGGUCAUCUAGUAGGUAUCGUGGGUUGUUUAGUAGGUUUUGUAGGUGAUCUAGUAGGUAUUGUGGGUUGUUUAGUAGGUUUUGUAGGUUGUCUAGUAGGUAUCGUGGGUUGUUUAGUAGGUUUUGUAGGUUGUCUAGUAGGUACUGUGGGUUGUUUAGUAGGUUUUGUAGGUUGUCUAGUAGGUACUGUGGGUUGUUUAGUAGGUUUUGUAGGUUGUCUAGUAGGUACUGUGGGUUGUUUAGUAGGUUUUGUAGGUUGUCUAGUAGGUAUUGUGGGUUGUUUAGGAGGUUUUGUAGGU